CCCGAAAGAUCGAAUGGGGAGAUUCACCGUCGAUUAGGUGAUGAAGGUCUUUGGCUGGUGCGCGAUGUUUGAAGCGAUAUUUUAAUCGGUAUUUGCUGAUAAGCACGCAAGCUACCAAAUUGGAUCCAACCGCCGGCGUGCACUUCUCCCCUAGUAGAACGUCGCGACCCGCUGGAUGUACGGUCUACGGGGCCGCGCCAUUAGACUGUCGCGCGGGGGCCUCGCGGCUCUCGUCGGCAGAGGCGCGGAUCUUGACCCGACCGACUGUCCGGCGGUAGUUGAACGAAAGGUAUACGGCCGCGGUUUUACCGCGCGUUCCGGCGUCGGGCGAGUUCGACUCGGCCCUCGGUUGUACGGACCUAGUAGCCGAUCCGAGGGCAGUGAGCGAUUGCGGCCCGGCUGUCCGCGAACAGGUUGUAAAUAAAUACCAGUCAGCGACGCUAUUGCUUUGGGUACUUUCAGGACCCGUCUUGAAACACGGACCAAGGAGUCUAACAUGUGCGCGAGUCAUUGGGCAUACAACGAAACCCAAAGGCGUAUUGAAAGAGAAUCCGUUGCCCUCGUGGUUUCCGGAUUUGGGACGACGAUAUUAGCCGAAAGGCGACGCUCCGCAGUCCCGGGGCGUUUCGAGCUCAUUGCGAGCUGAGGCGCACCUAGAGCGCACACGUUGGGACCCGAAAGAUGGUGAACUAUGCCUGGUCAGGACGAAGUCAGGGGAAACCCUGAUGGAGGUCCGUAGCGAUUCUGACGUGCAAAUCGAUCGUCGGAACUGGGUAUAG
rnacentral:rRNA from 1 species